AUUGAACGCUGGCGGCAGGCCUAACACAUGCAAGUCGAACGGUAACAGGAAGCAGCUUGCUGCUUCGCUGACGAGUGGCGGCCGGGUGAGUAAUGUCUGGGAAGCUGCCUGAUGGAGGGGGAUAACUACUGGAAACGGUAGCUAAUACCGCAUAAUGUCCCAAGACCAAAGAGGGGGACCUUCGGGCCUCUUGCCAUCGGAUGUGCCCAGAUGGGAUUAGCUUGUUGGUGGGGUAACGGCUCACCAAGGCGACGAUCCCUAGCUGGUCUGAGAGGAUGACCAGCCACACUGGAACUGAGACACGGUCCAGACUCCUACGGGAGGCAGCAGUGGGGAAUAUUGCACAAUGGGCGCAAGCCUGAUGCAGCCAUGCCGCGUGUAUGAAGAAGACCUUCGGGUUGUAAAGUACUUUCAGCGGGGAGGAAGGGAGUAAAGUUAAUACCUUUGCUCAUUGACGUUACCCGCAGAAGAAGCACCGGCUAACUCCGUG
rnacentral:rRNA from 1 species